UACGUAGGGGGCAAGCGUUGUCCGGAUUUAUUGGGCGUAAAGAGCGUGUAGGCGGCCAGGUAGGUCAGCUGUGAAAACUCGAGGCUCAACCUCGAGACGCCGGUUGAAACCAUCUGGCUAGAGUCCGGAAGAGGAGAGUGGAAUUCCUGGUGUAGCGGUGAAAUGCGCAGAUAUCAGGAAGAACACCCGUGGCUAAGGCGGCUCUCUAGUACGGUACUGACGCUCAGACGCGAAAGCGUGGGGAGCGAACAGG
rnacentral:rRNA from 1 species